rnacentral:misc_RNA from 1 species
UCCGAGUUGACCCCGGCAGUCUCCCAUGAGUCCCCAGCCACCCGAAGGCGCUGCUGGCAACAUGGAACGAGGGUUGCGCUCGUUGCGGGACUUAACCCAACAUCUCACGACACGAGCUGACGACAGCCAUGCACCACCUGUAACCGAGUGUCCAAAGAGUUCCACAUUUCUGCGGCGUUCUCGGUUAUGUCAAGCCUUGGUAAGGUUCUUCGCGUUGCCUCGAAUUAAACCACAUGCUCCGCCGCUUGUGCGGGCCCCCGUCGAUUCCUUUGAGUUUUAGCCUUGCGGCCGUACUCCCCAGGCGGGGCACUUAAUGCGUUAGCUACGGCGCGGAAAACGUGGAAUGUCCCCCACACCUAGUGCCCAACGUUUACGGCAUGGACUAC